AGAGUUUGAUCCUGGCUCAGACGAACGCUGGCGGCGUGCCUAACACAUGCAAGUCGAACGGAGAUACGCGCUGAAUGACGAAGCUUGCUUUUGAAUUCUUGUGUAUCUUAGUGGCGACGGGUGAGUAACGCGUGAGCAACCUGCCUUUCAGAGGGGGAUAACGUUUGGAAACGAACGCUAAUACCGCAUGAGACUACGGUACUACAUGGUACAGUGGCCAAAGGAGCAAUCCGCUGAAAGAUGGGCUCGCGUCCGAUUAGAUAGUUGGCGGGGUAACGGCCCACCAAGUCGACGAUCGGUAGCCGGACUGAGAGGUUGGGAACGGCCACAUUGGGACUGAGACACGGCCCAGACUCCUACGGGAGGCAGCAGUGAGGGAUAUUGGUCAAUGGGGGAAACCCUGAACCAGCAACGCCGCGUGAGGGAAGACGGUUUUCGGAUUGUAAACCUCUGUCCUCUGUGAAGAUAAUGACGGUAGCAGAGGGGGAAGCUCCGGCUAACUACGUG
rnacentral:rRNA from 1 species